CGGUAUGGUAAGUUCCUGGUAAAAUUGGGCAGCUUAACUGUCCUUGUGCUAGGGAUACUGCGAUACUAGAGGGCGGGAGAGGUCUGAGGUACUACAGGGGUAGGGGUGAAAUCUUAUAAUCCUUGUAGGACCACCAGUGGCGAAAGCGUCAGACUGGAACGCGCCUGACGGUGAGGGACGAAAGCCAGGGGAGCGAACCGGAUUAGAUACCCGGGUAGUCCUGGCCGUAAACGAUGCGCACUAGGUGAUGGUGCGGCUAUGAGCCGCAUCAGUGUCGUAGGGAAACCGUUAAGUGUGCCGCCUGGGAA
rnacentral:rRNA from 1 species